UGCUAUCUCGUGAGCAGCUCCAGCACCAACUAGCUGUGUGUCCUGGGGCGGGGCCCCGAACCUCUCUAAGCCUGAGCUUCUCUAUAAAACAGGCCUCAUAAUUAGAGUGUCUACUCACAGAACUGCUGAUAUAGUCUCUUCGUACAAACUGUGACAUAUGAAGUUUUAGAGUAAAAGCCGUCACUCCUCAGCAGUAAUUCCAGAAAUGGAAACACCGCAGAUGGAGCUGGACUAGCUGUAACCUGUCCCCAGAGGUCACAGCUGCUGUUCUGUCGUCGUGUGUCCUUCCAGACCUGGCCCCUGCGUUCACGGGAACACGGUGUCUUCAGAAAACACGCAGUCUAAAUGGAUGGACGGACAUUUACCUGGAAGAAGGUCCUACUGAUGCGCCACCAGAUCUCUUCUGAGCCUCAUCACGAGCAACAUUAUGAUCUUGAGUGAAGACGUGAACCAUUCUAAUUUGGGGUAAGAUCCAAACCCAAGAAGUAAACAGGGUAACAG
rnacentral:lncRNA from 1 species